GGAGACCUCUUUUCCUUGGUCGCUUGGGUCGCGUCUUGAAACACACACGCGCCAGGAACAGAAACGCCGCGCUGCGGCAACCCGCGCUCAGAGCGCGUCUCUGUGCCCGCCCCGCGGGCGGCGGGGCUGGUCCCUGCGGCCCUUCGCUCCCAGGCGCUACACCCCUGCCUCAGUUUCCCCAUCUGCACCGGGAGGUGGCGUGCAUCAGGGCCCAGCCGCCGGCUGGAAUUCGGUCUUUGCGAGCGCCGCGCGCGGGAGGCGGCGGGGAGCGGGGCAGACAGGGCUGCCUGUGGGUCGUCUGUGUUUCCAAGACCGUAAACAAGUAAAGGAGAAAACAGACAAGAUCAUUUGAAAUAACACCAAGUGGUAACAUAAUAGAAGCACAGAUGGGAAAAUGGAGGCUGAAUCGCCUGUUGGAGGGAAAUGAGAAGUUGAAGGAGUUGAACGAUUUCCCCAUUUCCUCGAGCGUCCAGUACGUGGUGGAGACCAGAUUCGGACUGCAGACAUACUCUGGGUUCCCAGGAUUCCUGAAAUCCAAAGGUUCCAAGCUGGCUUCCAGGGCCUGUGCAAGCCUCUUGCUGUAACCCAAUGAGAAAGGAUCAUAUAUGAGGAAAGAGAAGCCCCGAGAGGUUAAGUGGCUUGCCCCAGGCCACACAGUGAGUAGGUGCAAGAUGGAGAUUCAAAUCCUCAUCCGUCAGAAUCCAGGGAGGUGCUGAGGCACCCACACAUGUGCAGCCCGGGACCAUUUAUUGGAAAUUACCCUGGAGCAGGGACAAGGCCCAUGCUUGGAAUGUAAGUACCAGAAGAGGUGAACAUAAGCCGUGAGCCUGCAGAUGCCCCCUCCUUCCUGUGAUCCUUUGGCCGGGGUAGCGGGCAUAUUUCAUUAAACUAAGCUGGCGCCAGAAA